rnacentral:rRNA from 1 species
AACGGCGAGUGAAGCGGCAACAGCUCAAAUUUGAAAUCUGGCCCCUAGGGUCCGAGUUGUAAUUUGUAGAGGAUGCUUUUGGUGAGGUGCCGCCCGAGUUCCCUGGAACGGGACGCCACAGAGGGUGAGAGCCCCGUCUGGCUGGCCACCGAGCCUCUGUAAAGCUCCUUCGACGAGUCGAGUAGUUUGGGAAUGCUGCUCAAAAUGGGAGGUAUAUGUCUUCUAAAGCUAAAUAUUGGCCAGAGACCGAUAGCGCACAAGUAGAGUGAUCGAAAGAUGAAAAGCACCUUGAAAAGAGGGUUAAAUAGUACGUGAAAUUGUUGAAAGGGAAGCGCUUGUGACCAGACUUGGGCGCGGCGGAUCAUCCGGGGUUCUCUCCGGUGCACUUCGCCGCGUCUAGGCCAGCAUCAGUUCGUCGCGGGGGAAAAAGGCUUCGGGAACGUGGCUCCUCCGGGAGUGUUAUAGCCCGUUGCAUAAUACCCUGCGGUGGACUGAGGACCGCGCAUCUGCAAGGAUGCUGGCGUAAUGGUCACCAGCGACCCGUCUUGAAACACGGACCAAGGAGUCGUCUUCGUAUGCGAGUGUUCGGGUGUCAAACCCCUACGCGUAAUGAAAGUGAACGCAGGUGAGAGCUUCGGCGCAUCAUCGACCGAUCCUGAUGUUCUCGGAUGGAUUUGAGUAAGAGCAUACGGGGCCGGACCCGAAAGAAGGUGAACUAUGCCUGUAUAGGGUGAAGCCAGAGGAAACUCUGGUGGAGGCUCGCAGCGGUUCUGACGUGCAAAUCGAUCGUCAAAUAUGGGCAUGGGGGCGAAAGACUAAUCGAACCUUCUAGUAGCU